UUGAUAAACGGCAAACCUGUCGUGAGGCAGGGACGCAAAGCUGCGGGUCUUUUUGUUUUAUGAUAGGAAGAUAGCCGGGUUGCAGAUU
rnacentral:ncRNA from 1 species